rnacentral:rRNA from 1 species
GUAAUGCGUGGGUACCUACCCUGGGGCCGGGAUAGCCGUCCGAGAGGGCGGGUAAUACCGGAUGAUCUCGGGAGAGCAAAGGUCCGCCGCCCUGGGAGGGGCCCACGUGAUAUUACCUAGUUGGCGGGGUAACGGGCCCACCAAGGGGGAGAUGUCUAGCGGGUGUGAGAGCACGACCCGCGCCACUGGCACUGAGACACUGGCCAGACACCUACGGGUGGCUGCAGUCGAGGAUCUUCGGCAAUGGGCGCAAGCCCGACCGAGCGAUGCCGCGUGUGCGACGAAGGCCUUCGGGUUGUAAAGCACUGUCGAGGGGGAGAAAACCGCAAGGUUGAUCUAUCCCUGGAGGAAGCACGGGCUAAGUUCGUGCCAGCA